UCCUUAGCUACCUCCAACGCACAACGGGGCUAUCAUGGCUGUUCCAGCAAAGGCACUCAAGGCUCGCCUCUGUCGCGGUGUUCGUCAGAUUUUGGUGUAGUGGGAGGGACUCCCGCCCUCAUCCGCGUCGUGGGAAGACCUGACAGCAUUCCAGGAGCAGUAGCCUUCCUUCCAGCUUGAGGACAAGCUGUUGCUCGAGGGGGGGGGGGAGUGAUGUUAUGUGGGGGAAACAGUACGUGCGUCGUUCCAAGAAAGUGGUUGGUUAAACCAUAUGUAUCCUUGCUUAGUCGACAGGUUAGUUGGUUGGAUAGAUUCGGAGGUUAGUCAGGAUAGUUCGGUUAGUUAGAUAAGGUUUGUUGGCAGAUUUGAUUAGUAGAUUGGUUUGUUUGCAGUUUGUACGGGAGGCGACAAUGCUGGAUAUAUAACCAGCCGUGUAAUCUGAAAACACUUAAGCAAUGAAAGUAUCUUCCUCCUACUUCUAAUCUCUUAAGCGUGGAGCAGGAGGGACUAGAUCCCUCUCCUCUAUCGUCAUCUACCCGACUAGGACCUAGCUACUACAAUUUUCGUCCAUUUUUCUUCCAAUUACUUCGUGUUGGGUGGUAGGGGAUUUGAAGUAUGGUGGAUUUGGGCAUGGAUGCGCAUAGGUUGGGUUUAGGGUUGCGAAAUUGUUGCCUUUGUUUGCCAUGUUAUCUAGUCGUCCGACUAGUCGCGAUUAGUCGCGAUUAGUCGGGCUUAUCGGUCUAUGGACCUCGAUAAGGGGCACCGAUUAGGUUGGAGCGACAAGUUUUCUAGUCGUCCGAAUAGUCGUCGCCUAAUCGCAAUUAGUCGCGCCGAUCAGCUAGAAAAACGAUCAGACCACGAGCCGGUGGUGGGCUAUUUUGCGUUGUGGGCUUGGGCCGGUGGUGGGCUGGAGAGGCGGCCCAUUAGGUUUUAGGUAUAUAGUCAGACACAGCAGCUCCCAGCUCCAGACCACGACCGUCCGCCCGCUCCUCCAGACUACUAGCGCCGUCCGCCGCCGCCCGCCAAAUCCGCGCCAAAAUCGCGCUGCCCCGCCCAAAAUUGUGCCGCCCCGUGGACCGCCGCCGCCUGCUACACGUCCGCCGGCGCAGCUGCUGGCCUGCUGCUGCUACCGCGGCAAGACCCGGCGGCCGGCGACCCUCUUUCUUCCGCUUCCUAAGUUCCUGGCUUUGCCUCCGCCUCCGCCAGGCCUUGGGCGCCGGCGUUCUGCAAGGCUGCCACCAGCAGCAGCACCUGAAGAUGACCUCCUCUUCCUCCGACGGUAAGUGGCAUGUUUCUUCUCUAUGCUCUCCCCUCCCCUGCUUCACUAUCUGCUCGUGCUUUUUCUCCAUGCUCUCCGCUCCCCUGCUUUACUGUCUGCUCAUACUCGAGCUCCGCUUCCCCUCUUGUUUGCUAUUCUUCUAGCUUCUUUCUCUCCUCUGCUUAGUGUUAUGUGUAUGUGCAGAUGUGGAUCGACGCCACAGAGCUAUGGAAGUGUUCCCGCACAUACACUUCCACCAUCAUUGUUGCCUUCAUGCUUGCUUUUUAUUAAGUAAUAUGUAGUACAUAUAUCAUAUCGGUCCUGGGACACUAGGACGACUAGGCAGACGACUAGAACCGACUAGGCUCGACUAAUCGGCCUGAUCGACGACUAAUCGCGACUAGUCAUCUGAUCGGUCCCAAGGCGACUAGGUCCGACUAGACGAUUUGAAAACAUGGUUUGUUUGGAUGUAUACUUGGUGCGAUGGGGAUUGAAUCAGUCGAGAAUUGUAGGAUCUGAAAUUGGGUUAUGUUCAUGUGUUGAAAUUUUCCAGCGAGUUAGCGUUGGAUGGUAUAUUCGACAGUUUGAUAUGUGUUUUGGGUUAAUUAGCCAUGCGAGUACAAACAAUUAUUUCCACUUUAUGUUCUUCCGAUGGUAGCACAAGGAGUCUGAGUUCAACGAAACAUGAGGGGGAAAAACUCUGUUCAAUUGAAACUACCGUGAAAUUUUGAUUCAUACCAUCAUAAGUGGCCUUGUCUAUCUAGCUUCUAGGUUAAUAUUACUAUCCUUUCACUGUGGUUCUAGCGCAAUAAUGUUCACAUUAGUGAUUAGUCAGAUUGAAACUGGUAAGCCUCUAAUAAUUCUGACCAGUUAGAAUCAGUGAAUAAUGGAUGCUGCAACCCACAGAAUCAAAGCAAACUUUUAUUAUCUCCUUUUUUUUGUUACAAGGAGUCUAGCUGAAAAGCACACGUAUUCUUAUCUCCAGCUUUUUCUAAACAAAUGCCGCCAAAAGUAGAUGUUGCAUUGUAAAUGCUUGACCAUUUUUCGUAAUGCUUGAAUAUUAUUGCUGUUUAUCUUGAACAUUAUUUCUAAAAUCAGAGGGAUUAUUAUGGUGGCCAAUGAGGUUUUUGGCACACAACUUUUUUUUGGAUUCGCAGUGAUGCUCAUCCUUGAAUAUAUUGACUGAUCUGUCAUAUUCUAUUGCAGAACAGGAUCAUUUAGUCUCAUUCUCAAAUGGCUGGUUCGGACUUGGUAUAAUCUCCUCUGGCUCAACUGAUGCUAUUGUCCUCAGGGCUGUACAAGGGAAUGAUUGGGAAGACUUUAUUUGCUAUCCAAUUAAGCAUCACUUGUGAUUUUGUGAAGAAGUUAUAGCUAUAAGAUCAAAUGUAUCGCCCAGACAAGUUAUAUUAUCCUUAUGGAAGAUAUGGACAUGAUUUACUAUUUCACUUAAUGAUGAUCACGUGAAAUCUCCAAGAUCAUCUAAUUAUGCAUGUGUGAUGAUCAACAUGUUAUCAAUUAUUUUAUUUUUUCUUCGUUGCUUCA